rnacentral:rRNA from 1 species
AACGUAGGUGGCGAGCGUUAUCCGGAUUUACUGGGCGUAAAGCGUGUGCAGGCGGGGUAUCAAGUGGUGUAUGAAAUCGCUCGGCUUAACCGGGCGCGGUUAUGCCAGACUGAUACUCUGGAGUGCGGGAGAGGGGCGUGGAAUUCCGGGUGUAGUGGUGAAAUGCGUAGAUAUCUGGAGGAACACCGGUGGCGAAGGCGGCAUCCUGGACCGGCAUUGACGCUGAGGCGCGAAAGCUAGGGGAGCAAACGGG